ACGGGAGGCAGCAGUGGGGAAUAUUGCACAAUGGGGGAAACCCUGAUGCAGCGACGCCGCGUGAGGGAAGAAGAUUUUCGGAUUGUAAACCUCUGUCUUCGGGGACGAUAAUGACGGUACCCGAGGAGGAAGCCACGGCUAACUACGUGCCAGCAGCCGCGGUAAUACGUAGGUGGCAAGCGUUGUCCGGAAUUACUGGGUGUAAAGGGAGCGCAGGCGGGUUUGCAAGUUGGAUGUUUAAUCGAGGGGCUCAACCCCUUUCCGCAUUCAAAACUGCAGAUCUUGAGUGGUGCAGAGGUAGGCGGAAUUCCCGGUGUAGCGGUGGAAUGCGUAGAUAUCGGGAGGAACACCAGUGGCGAAGGCGGCCUACUGGGCACUAACUGACGCUGAGGCUCGAAAGCAUGGGUAGCAAACAGGAUUAGAUACCCUGGUA
rnacentral:rRNA from 1 species